AAAAACUCCGGUGGUGUAAGAUGGACCCGCGUCUGAUUAGCUGGUUGGUGAGGUAACGGCUCACCAAGGCGACGAUCAGUAGCCGGCCUGAGAGGGUGAACGGCCACAUUGGGACUGAGACACGGCCCAAACUCCUACGGGAGGCAGCAGUGGGGAAUAUUGCACAAUGGGGGAAACCCUGAUGCAGCAACGCCGCGUGAGUGAAGAAGUCAUUCGUGAUGUAAAGCUCUAUCAGCAGGGAAGAAAAUGACGGUACCUGACUAAGAGGCCCCGGCUAACUACGUGCCAGCAGCCGCGGUAAUACGUAGGGGGCAAGCGUUAUCCGGAUUUACUGGGUGUAAAGGGAGCGUAGACGGCGACGCAAGUCUGAAGUGAAAUGCCAGUGCUCAACACUGGAACUGCUUUGGAAACUGUGUGGCUAGAGUGCAGGAGAGGUAAGUGGAAUUCCUAGUGUAGCGGUGAAAUGCGUAGAUAUUAGGAGGAACACCAGUGGCGAAGGCGGCUUACUGGACUGUAACUGACGUUGAGGCUCGAAGGCGUGGGGAGCAAACAGGAUUAGAUACCCUGGUAGUCCACGCGGUAAACGAUGAUUACUAGGUGUCGGGGGGCUAUAGCCCUUCG
rnacentral:rRNA from 1 species